CGUGUAGGCGGAUUUGCAAGUCAAAUGUGAAAACCGGCGGCUUAACCACCGGCCUGCAUUUGAUACUGCUGAUCUUGAGUACGGAAGAGGAGAGUGGAAUUCCAGGUGUAGCGGUGACAUGCGUAGAUAUCUGGAAGAACACCGGUGGCGAAGGCGGCUCUCUGGUCCGAUACUGACGCUGAGGCGCGAAAGCUAGGGGAGCAAACA
rnacentral:rRNA from 1 species